rnacentral:rRNA from 1 species
CGCGCAGGCGGUCUUGUCCGUCAGGUGUGAAAGCUCGGGGCUCAACCCCGGAAGUGCACUUGAAACAGCAAGACUUGAAUACGGGAGAGGAAAGCGGAAUUCCUGGUGUAGAGGUGAAAUUCGUAGAUAUCAGGAGGGACACCGAUGGCGAAGGCAGCUUUCUGGACCGAUAUUGACGCUGAGGCGCGAAGGCGUGGGUAGCGAACG